AGGGUUGUGGCUCAGUGGUAGAGUGCUUGCCUAGCAUGAGAGGCCCUGGGUUUGAUCCUCAGCAGUACAU
rnacentral:tRNA from 1 species